GAAAGCCAUCUAGAUACAUUUGUUGGUUCUUGAUCUUCUGGUUGCAAGGGUUCUAUGAGAAUGAGUUUUCCAUUUGGUGGCAAAGCUUUGUAACAAUUGGUAAACAUUUUUAUGCACUUUUCAUCUGACCAGUUAUGGCUGACAGCCUAGAGCAAUAAAAUAUAUCCAAGGAUACAAAAACAUUGUUAAGAACUAUCUUAUAGAUAAUCAGUGAUAUUAUCACAAAUUCUUCAGUUAUUAAUUGGUGGUUUUUUUGUCUAAAACAAUCACAAAUUAAUAACCUAAGAAUUAAUACAUCCAUAUUAGUUUUAAUAAAUGAGUAUUUUAGCAACAUAUCUAAUAAUAUAUAUAACAAAUUUUUUAUUUAUCACUUAUCAUAUUCCUUCUAAAAAAAUUAGUGGAUGUAUUUUAGCAAAUAUCAAUAGAAGCUGCUAGCUUAUACCUAUUUAUAUUUUAGAAUGUUUUAACGACACACUGUAUUUAACCACAAUUUAGUUAUAACUUGGUAAAACACUUAGCAUGCGUUUGACAUAACAACUUCAAUUGUACACAGUCUUUGAUUUGUAAAACUGUUUCUGGCACAAGAUAAACUAGAGGUAAGGGACAUGACAAAAAAAAAAAAAAAAUUGUCCAUCACUAAACCACAAGGUAACUUUUUGCCCCUCAUACAAGUUAUCUGAAAUAAAAAAAAAUAGUUUUUUGUCGACCAAAAAUAGUAUAAGACAAAAAAUUAUUCAAUAUCAUAAAAGUUUAUCAUGUGCUAUUGUGUCUUGCAUUCUGCUGUUAUGUCUUGUGUUGUUCUGUUUAAUACAUACAAUUUAGCAAAUCAAACACACCCUUUAAUAUAAAAACUAAAACUAGUGGGUAUAGGUCAGCAAAUCCGAUAUACACAUAUACCUUAAUCAUUAUGACAUCUCCUUGUGGAACACUUUCAAACAUAUUUCCUCCAACAUAUUCAAUGCCUAAAUGAAAUUUGGAAAUUAAAUUGGUUAUUAUAUAUACAAAAAUAAAUUAUUACAUGAGAAUUGGAUUACCUGGAAAAGGUGGUGUAUUUUCAAUUACUUGUGGAAGGUCAAAAUUGAUUGCCUUUAUUGAUGGGUAUUUAGAGAUAAUCAUUUUGAGACUUUGCCCUGUUCCACCACCUACAUCAACCAGUGUUGAUAUUCCCUCAAAUCCUUGGUAUAUUUCAAGGAUUCUUUUCAUGUGAGUUGUGCAUGUAUCCGUCAUUGAUUUGUUAAAUAUUUCAUUUAUCUGUGGAUCUUUCUUAAAGUAUUCAAACAUUGUUAUUCCAUGAACUUUUUUGAACAGGUCACCCUCUGGAUCAAUAAUUGCUUCCUUAAAAUUCAACCUACACAUUAUAAAAAUACCUUUUACAUAUAUCAACAAGCUAUUAGCAAGUAAUAUUUUUUUCUUUAAAAGAAGGUUAUGUUGUCAUGCUAAACUAAAUUAAAGAGGUGAUAAACUUGUGCGUAUAUUAAAUUAUAGAGUUGAUAAACUUGUGCGUAUAUUUAAUUAUGGGAUCAAAUCACCCAUAUUCAAACUUAGAGGCUCAAUUACAAUAUUUAAUAAUAUUAGGUGAGAUAUAUACAAAAUAACCCAACCUGUCUGUUGAAUUCAAAACUUUUAUAAAGCAUAUCAAAAUUAAAAAUUUCAUAUAAUAGGUCACAAAUUAUUUGACACUCAAUUGUAAUGAUUUUGUUAAAGAGUCCCGCAUUAACAUAAGCUGGUUUGAACAUGUGUUUAUAAGUAAGGACAAUUCUGAUUUCAAAAGUUGGUUUUUUGGGAUUGUGUUAGGUCCAGUCACGAUUUCUAAGGAGGUAUCGGGGCCUCUCCAAGAUUCGUUGGGCCACUUGUUAUCAGGUUUGAAAAUUGCGCUUCUCCCUCUCCCUUUCAAAAUUGUUCAUUCCCAUGAUCGGCUUUUUUUCAACGUGAUUUACGCAGGGCAUUUUUCAGUGUGAAUUAACUCACACAUGCACUUGAAUGAGCAAAAACAAAAGGGAGAAGGACAAUUUUUAUCAGGUUUUCGAUAUCGGGUCACCCACCAUUUAUUCCACCAACCAAGCCCGAUGGUCAUGAGGAAAUGUAUUAAAGAGUCCCACAUCAAACAUUAGAUGACAUGAACAUGCGUUUAUAAUUAUGGGCAAUUUUCACAUCACAAAUUUGUUUUGUGGGGUUUUGUUAGACUCAACCACUCUUUCUAAGAGAUUUAUUUUGACGGUAUUUAAUAAAUUAAUAAGUAAAUAUUUCUCACAAAAAUAAUAGUUCAAGGUCAGAAGAUUGAUAAAUUUCAAUUCUUACAUGUGCUUUUUUUUUUUUUUUUUUUUUUUUUUUUUCUUUUGGUUUUGAGGAAUUAUGUUUUCAUACAUUAGCUUAUUAACUACUCUAUUUGUUGUAAAUUGACUACAUCAAUCAAGUUUUAGAAAUACUUACCACA
rnacentral:lncRNA from 1 species